rnacentral:rRNA from 1 species
UACGUAGGCAGCGAGCGUUGUCCGGAGUUACUGGGCGUAAAGGGUGUGUAGGCGGUUGUUUAAGUUUGGUGUGAAAUCUCCCGGCUCAACUGGGAGGGUGCGCCGAAUACUGAAUGACUUCGAGUGCGGGAGAGGAGAGUGGAAUUCCUGGUGUAGCGGUGAAAUGCGUAGAUAUCAGGAGGAACACCGGUGGUGUAGACGGCUCUCUGGACCGUAACUGACGCUGAGACACGAAAGCGUGGGUAGCAAACAGG